AUUGAACGCUGGCGGCAGGCCUAACACAUGCAAGUCGAGCGGAUGAAGGGAGCUUGCUCCUGGAUUCAGCGGCGGACGGGUGAGUAAUGCCUAGGAAUCUGCCUGGUAGUGGGGGAUAACGUCCGGAAACGGGCGCUAAUACCGCAUACGUCCUGAGGGAGAAAGUGGGGGAUCUUCGGACCUCACGCUAUCAGAUGAGCCUAGGCCGGAUUAGCUAGUUGGUGGGGUAAAGGCCUACCAAGGCGACGAUCCGUAACUGGUCUGAGAGGAUGAUCAGUCACACUGGAACUGAGACACGGUCCAGACUCCUACGGGAGGCAGCAGUGGGGAAUAUUGGACAAUGGGCGAAAGCCUGAUCCAGCAAUGCCGCGUGUGUGAAGAAGGUCUUCGGAUCGUAAAGCACUUUAAGUUGGGAGGAAGGGCAGUAAGUUAAUACCUUGCUGUUUUGACGGUACCAACAGAAUAAGCACCGGCUAACUUCGUG
rnacentral:rRNA from 1 species